UACGAAGGGUGCAAACGUUGCUCGGAAUUAUUGGGCGUAAAGCGCACGUAGGCGGCUAUCUAAGUCGGAUGUGAAAUCCCUCGGCUUAACCAAGGAAGUGCACCCGAAACUGGAUAGCUUGAGUACAGAAGAGGAUCGCGGAAUUCCCGGUGUAGAGGUGAAAUUCGUAGAUAUCGUGGAGGAACACCGGUGGCGAAAGCGACUCUCUGGGACGGCAACUGACGCUCAGGUGCGAAAGCUAGGGGAGCGA
rnacentral:rRNA from 1 species